UACGUAGGGGGCAAGCGUUGUCCGGAUUUAUUGGGCGUAAAGAGCGUGUAGGCGGCCAGGUAGGUCAGCUGUGAAAACUCGAGGCUCAACCUCGAGACGUCGGUUGAAACCACCUGGCUAGAGUCCGGAAGAGGCGAGUGGAAUUCCUGGUGUAGCGGUGAAAUGCGCAGAUAUCAGGAGGAACACCGGUGGCGAAGGCGGGUCUCUGGGCAGUAACUGACGCUGAGGAGCGAAAGCGUGGGGAGCGAACAGG
rnacentral:rRNA from 1 species